UAUGUGAUCGUCUCUCGCAUAUCAAUAAGCGGAGGAAAAGAAACUAACAAGGAUUCCCCUAGUAACGGAGAGUGAAGCGGGAAGAGCUCAAAUUUGAAAUCUUAAAGGGUUUCCCUUUACGAAUUGUAGUUUAAAGAAGUGUUUUCUGUUGAGGUUUUGGUAAAAGUUCUUUGGAAUAGGACAUCAUAGAGGGUGAGAAUCCCGUAUUUGACCUUUACUUUCAACUUUGUGAUACACUUUCAAAGAGUCGGAUUGUUUGGGAAUGCAGUCCAAAAUGGGUGGUAAAUUUCAUCUAAAGCUAAAUAUUGGCGAGAGACCGAUAGCGAACAAGUACCGUGAGGGAAAGAUGAAAAGAACUUUGAAAAGAGAGUUAAACAGUACGUGAAAUUGUCAAAAGGGAAGCGUUUGACACCAGUGUUGUUUUUCUGAAAAUCAAUUAAAGAACUGUUUAUGCUAAGCUGUUUAGACUUUAUCAGCUAUCUGUUUAGUUUUGAGCUUUUCUUUAAUGCACUUUUCAGUUAACAGGUCAACAUCAAUUUCUUUUGCUGUAAAAAAGCUUGAGGAAGGUGGCUUGAGAUUCGUCUUAAGUGUUUAUAGCCUCUUGCCUAUGCAGUCGGAGAGAUUGAGGUCUGCAGCGUAGAUCCUUCGGGGCUAAAUGCAUUUGUGCUAAGUUAUAGCAUUUUAUAGACAACUUGUUGACUAUGAUUUGUCUUGUAGCUUACUCGCUUAUGUUAUUUUACCUACGCUUAGGAUGUUGAUAUGCAUGACUGAUAU
rnacentral:rRNA from 1 species